rnacentral:lncRNA from 1 species
GGGUUCUCCUCUUCAAACUAGGAUCGAGCUAAAUUAAUUGCGUUAUAUUUCCAUCCCCAUAAUCAUCCUAUUCAAAACUAAAUUAAUUGCGUCGAACUUGUCAAUGUCAAGUAUUUAUCAUUACAUACAUUGAUAUUUUCAAGCAAUAAAUAAAAUACACCAUCAUUGUAGUUUACAAUAACGCUGAGAUAUAUUACAUGAUCAUAGACAUGCCAGUGAAUGUCCAAAGUAUGACACAAACAUCUGCACUCUUUUUCAUCUUCUACACAACCCUUCCCCCCAUCCCUACAACUCCGGCCACCCCUAUACCUGAUUGUUUAGCAAGUGAAACAGAAUAGGACUAUGGUUAAAUGAAAUUGAGUACACAUAUUAGCAAAGUUAACCACAUUAUAUGGGAAGAGCCUCUGGUAAUGAUUCUGGAGCACCACUGCUACCAUUAAGCACAAUCACAUUGCCAUCAGAAUCAACAUCCACAAUAACAGAAUCACCCUCUUUGAUCUCUCUAGAAAGCAUCUUCUCGGCCAUGCUGUCCUCUAAAAGUCUCAUUAUGGCUCUUCUUAGAGGUCUAGCUCCAUAGCUAGGAUUAUAACCUUCCUCAACCACUCUGUCCCUAAACCUUUCUGUCACUUGAAGUUCAAUAUCUUUAGUCUUCAGUCUCUCGAACACCUCAUUGAGCAUUAUGUCUGCUAUCUCCUUCACUUCGAGUUUUGUGAGUUGCCUGAAAACAAUCAUUUCAUCCAACCUAUUCAAAAACUCUGGCCUAAAGUAUUGUUUUAGCUCCUCUGUCACUAAGCUCUUGAUUUUGUUAUAACUGCUAUCCUUCUCAUCGUAAUCCAAAUCGAAUCCAAUUCGGCGGCCUCCUUUCUCAAUCACACUGCUUCCAACAUUUGAUGUCAUUAUUAGAAGUGUGUUCUUGAAAUCAACAGUUCUGCCCUUGCUGUCUGUUAAUCUUCCAUCUUCCAGGAUUUGAAGCAUCAUGUUGAACACAUCAGGAUGGGCUUUCUCAAUCUCAUCAAAAAGUACAACAGUGUAAGGACGCCGCCGAACUGCUUCAGUCAAUUGACCUCCUUCAGUGUAACCCACGUAUCCAGGAGGUGAACCAAUGAGUUUGGAGACAGUGUGCCUUUCCAUAAAUUCACUCAUGUCAAGACGAAUCAUGGCUUCUUCAGAGCCAAAGUAGUAUGCAGCCAAUGCUUUGGCCAACUCAGACUUCCCAACACCAGUUGGACCAGAAAAUAUGAAGCUGGCAAUUGGACGAUUAGGGUUCUUUAGUCCAACCCGGGCUCUACGGAUAGCCCGACUUAUCGCUUUCACUGCUUCGUCCUGACCAACGAUUCGCUUGUGUAAAGUAUCUUCCAUCUUGAGGAGGCGAUCAGAUUCAUCUGUUGAGACUUUGUCAACAGGAAUACCAGUCCAGGAGGACACAAUAUGUUGUAUGUCAACUUCAGUCACAAUAGGACCUGUAUCUCCGGCCUCAGUCUCUGCCUUGCUCAUCUCCUUGCCUUUCUCUACAAGUGUUGAGAUUUGAGCCUUCAGAUCCAUUUCUCUAUCUCGUAGCUCUCCAGCCUAUUAGAAAUUCAUGUAUCAUCAAUCCAUAAAUUAUAGGCUAAAUAUGGAACAUUUGAACAAGAAACGAACCACAACACUAUCCUUUUUUCAACACAGCUAAUAUUUAAAGUCGACAAACUAAAAAGUAGAAACAUACAUCAAUUUAGAACUACAAAAAAUAAAAAGUCGGCCAAUCUCUUAAUUUGUACUUGAGCAAAAGCAUGAUUUUUUAGACAACAUUUGUAAGUUAGAUCCUCCAGUGAAGGUGAAAGGCAUUACCUUUUCAAAGUCUUGGUUGCGAGAAGCUUCUUCUUUCUCCUUGAUAAUCUGCCUGACCUCCUUGUCAAGUUCUCUCGCUUCUUCAGGUAACUGGAAGUACAUAAAUCUAGCUCAAUUAGCUUAAAUAACAUAAAAUUGCCUCUGCUCUCCCUAGGCCCCACUAGGUGGGAGCCUCGUGCAUUGGGCCACUCUUUUUAAUAGAUAUUAUAAAUAAUAGUUGAAGUGUAAAUAAACUCUAUACCUGUGCAUGUUGAAGCCGGACUCGUGAACCAGCUUCAUCAACCAAGUCUAUAGCUUUGUCAGGCAAGAAUCGGUCACUGGAGGGUACAGCAUUAUUUUUAUUUAUAAUUUAUAACCAGGAUAUACAUGGUUAAGAAAAACAGCAAGUAAAUAAGAAGAUAGAAUGAGAAUUUUGAUUCACAUAGAUAUGAAACAGCUAUAUUAGAUGUCCAAUGAUUCGAAGAGGACUAUUGCUGCUAAAUUACAGAAGCCUAACACAGAGAUCAAAUUAAUUCAUAGGAAAAGUUCCAGUUUAAACAUGCAGCAUUGAAUUUUUUAUAAAAAUGUUUAGUCGAGAACAUAAAUUGCAAGGCAAAAGAUGAACGAAGAAACAGAAAUACAGUAUGACAAACCUGAUAUACUGGUAAGAUAGCUGCGCAGCAGCUACAAGAGCCUCGUCGGUAUAGCGGAGCUUGUGAUGAAUCUCAUAGCGCUCUCUAAGUCCCUUCAGUAUUUGUAUGGUUUCAUCUACAGUUGGCUCUGGCACUUUAACUGGCUGGAAUCGUCUCUCCAAAGCUGGAUCUUUCUCAAUGUGCUUCCUGUAUUCGUCCAGUGUUGUGGCUCCAAUACAAAAGCAUCUUCUCGGCCAUGCUGUCCUCUAAAAGUCUCAUUAUGGCUCUUCUUAGAGGUCUAGCUCCAUAGCUAGGAUUAUAACCUUCCUCAACCACUCUGUCCCUAAACCUUUCUGUCACUUGAAGUUCAAUAUCUUUAGUCUUCAGUCUCUCGAACACCUCAUUGAGCAUUAUGUCUGCUAUCUCCUUCACUUCGAGUUUUGUGAGUUGCCUGAAAACAAUCAUUUCAUCCAACCUAUUCAAAAACUCUGGCCUAAAGUAUUGUUUUAGCUCCUCUGUCACUAAGCUCUUGAUUUUGUUAUAACUG